AGACAAAGUGCUUCUCAAACAGCAAACUAUUUUUUUCUGAUGCUGCUUGUACGUUGACGGUUAUUUUGGUUAUUUUAGACUUCCUUUUUUUUUCUUUAUCCUCAUCAAGCUCCUCAAGUUUUUUCUUCUUCUUUGGGACAGUUUGUGUCUCCAUUGAGAUGUGCCAUCACUCUAUAUAGAGAUCAAAGUGAUAAAAGUACCUUCCUUUCAUGUAGCUACUCGACAGUUGACUGUUCUAUCUCAAUAAUCCACUCAGGCUAGUGACUACUGCAAUACUAAUAGUAUUGAACUUUACCAUGAACUUUACAUGAUCUGAUUCUUCUCUCCAUGCAGGUUAGUCAGACCCACACAUAUUCUUUGCUGAAUUUCCACACUAGUAAGACGCCUACUAUAUAUAUAUGUCGACUUUUCAAUGGUGUAUGAAGAAGUUGCCAUGGUGCAAAAAGAAAGAUAAAGGGAGAUUGGCUUUAGAAAUGCUGUAUUUACAUUGUACACACAGCGGAACAUUUCUAUUAUACAGCCGUAUUGUAUUCCUUCGGUACACAAAGAAUGAAAACAGGAUAGAACAUCUGAGCAAAACGCUUCUGAAUAUCAUCAAGUACAAUCAAAUAUUUAUAUCCGGAUUUUGUGAAUAAACAUUGAAUUAUUAAAUGCGUAUUGUUCCGUGUCCCAGACCUGCAUUUUUAUCACUACAUCUGUCGGUUAAAUCUUGCAAACAAUAGCUCCCCUUGUCUUUGUCAAUCAAAUCUGUUUAUUGUUAUACUUACAUUUAUGAUUUACAUACUUAUUUGUGGUUAGCAUUUGUAACUUUGCACAAUUACUACUUCAUCUUUUUCAUCUUCCGUUGCGAUGUCUUCUAUCUCCCCCGGUGCUCGCGGCACCUGCUUAAUCAAAUGUAUCUGUGAUCUUCACACCGUUUCUUUAAAAAAAGAACUGUGCCGACUUCCCCCCAUAUAUCGUGUCUUUGUGCUCGAGAACAUCUGAUUUGAUCCUUACCUCUAUUUGCUCGAAUACCUAUAAAUAUAUUCUUUUAUCCCUCUCUUUUUUUUUUUUGAGUUGACUUCAACAUUUGUAUGAGUUGUGAGCACCAGACACGUGUGUCAGUUGGAUGGUCAUUCAGUAGUAAAUUACCUGACAGACAGCAUCCGUAAUGUGGCAUCACUUCUGUCUUUUCACCUUUUUUAGAUUCUUGUGAAUCAACGUUAUUUUACCUCUCUAAUGCGAGUUUAACCCUUUAACAGCUGUUUGUUUUUUUCUUUCUUAAAAGAUUGUCUUUCUGAUCACGGGCAUAGUUUCGCCUUCUCAGAUGCAAAAGCUGAGCUCAUUCUAGAGGUCAGGGAGGUUGGGACAAUCAUCUGGGUGUCAACCAGCAAAAAAAAAAAA